UACAGAGGUCUCAAGCGUUGUUCGGAAUCACUGGGCGUAAAGGGUGCGUAGGUGGCGUGGCAAGUCAGAUGUGAAAGCCCGGGGCUCAACCUCGGAACUGCAUCCGAUACUGCCAUGCUAGAGUACUGAAGGGGUGACUAGAAUUCUCGGUGUAGCAGUGAAAUGCGUAGAUAUCGAGAGGAAUACCAAAGGCGAAGGCAGGUCACUGGGCAGUUACUGACACUGAGGCACGAAGGCCAGGGGAGCAAACGGG
rnacentral:rRNA from 1 species